UCAGCCGACACCAUACAAAUCCUCUGCUCUCCCUCUUCAUCUCCUUGUUGAGAAAACCCAAACUCCCAAAAACCAUCUCUAUGUAACUAAAAACUAAACGUAUACACACAUAAAUUUCAUCAUCCUUCCUCAUCACCCACAUAACAACAACAGGCCCCUCUUCUCUCUCAAAUCCGGUGACUGGAGGCGAUCUCCGGCGGGUUAUUCCGGUGUCGGUCCGUUCUGAGAGUCCCCCCCCUUUUCGGCAGAUUAAGCAACGGCCACCACCAUCGUGUGGUGGUGAGCGACGGCAAUGUUGUAUGAUCGACGAUGAUGUUCGAAGAUGAAGAUAGAGGAUCGGUGAUGAAUGAUGGUGUCGACGGUCGGAGAAGACAACAGACGCCUACAGAGUCGCCGUUCACAGCGGUGGUGCUUUAUUUCUUUCCGACGAAUCUUACGGUAAAGCCUUCAAGUUUCUGUUCUUUUUAUUCUCUGAUGAUGGUGGCGGGUGACUGUGGUGGUGGACGAGUCAGUACUUGUUUGGGUCAGUUAAUUUGGGUUCGAUCAUCUAGUUCAAGGCUUCAGUUCGAUUAGUCUGACAAGAGCUUCUGGCAACGACAAGAUACAGUUCGGAGCACGAGUCAGAAUUGGGUCAACGAAAGUCAAACCCGGUCGACUCGGGUCAAACCAAGAAAACUCGGUCAACACCCGGUCAACUCGGGUCAACAGCGAGUCAACGCGAGUCUAAUGAAGUGAACUGAUGAAACUAGAAGAUCUGGUAAAGUUAACGACGCCAAAAAUUAGCUUUAGAUUUUAGAUAGUUACGCGACCGAGCUCGACCCGUUUCGAUUUGGUAUUAAUUUACGUUUAUUAUACUCGACGAAAACUUUAUAUAGAUCGCUUAUAUUAUUGAAUUGGUGUUGAAAAUUGUUGAGUUUGAUAAAGUACGGCAACUUUUUAUUGUCGGGUUAUUACAAAAACAGAGGAAACUCUGCCCGAUUUUCGUUAAAAAGCCAAAAUACGAACGCAUUUAUGUCAUAAAAACGAUACCUAUCGGAUUAGAGUAUUUCUUUUAAAGAUAAAUAUAAAGAAUAUUUCUUUUGGCGACAUUUCCCGAGUUAUAAGUUAACGAAAUCCGAUAAUUUAUAUAAAAUAAAUUCUAUUGUUCAUAUUUAUUUCAAAACACAUUGAAACUCGAAUACCUUUAUAAAAUAAAUAUAAUUAGUUAUUAUAUUUAUUCUGAUCGAUGAAAACUGAAAAACUUUUAUAAAAUAAAUACAAUUAUCUAUAUUUAUUUCAAAUGCCCAAAACUCGGAAAUAUUUUGUAAAAUAAAUAUAAUCAUUUAUAUUUGUUUCAAACGUCGAUACCUCGUGUAAGUUAGGGGGGGCAAUCUUGACCCAAAGGUAUUAGUAUGGGUCAUUCUGGGUGUUUUUUAUACUAUUAUGGGUGGUUUUGGGUGAAGUAAUACAAGUUAAAGGGUCAGACUGGGUCAAUUUGAAAACAGAGGAUAUUUAUGACGGGUGAAGUUGGGUUGGAAAUUUAUAAAGAACGGGUCAGAACGGGUCAUCUAGGUUUUCUGAUAACGGGUCGAUCUCUUGAUGACGCUGCUUCUCUUCUUCACUAUUCUCACCGGAUCUAGCAUGCAUGAUGAAUUGAUGAUGAUAAAAUACAUACAUCAAGACAAUCCUCCAACAAGCUAGGUGAUUCUGAUAUUUCUGUUGGAGUAGAUCUCAAAGCCGAUGAUUCUCCAAUCUUAACUCCUCUAAUUCCUUCUCUUUCACAUCCACGGUUUGCUUUCUUCAUUCCCUGUGGUCCGAUUUAUCUUGAUAAUGGUGGAAUUUGCUGGAACAAGGUUUUUUUAGGGUUAGGGUUCGAGUUAUGGUGAUGAUAUUUUGGGGGAAAUUGGAUAAUCGUAAUACCAAUUUUCUUGGUGUAUCAUCUUUUCAAUUGUAAAGUUAUGAUUUCUCAAAUCAAUUUGAUAUUCAAUCGGAGCCUAUUUGUAAACACCACACUUAGUUUGAUAUUCAAUUGUAUUAGUUACAUUAAUCAAUUGUAUCAUCUUUUCAAUUG